GGAACUGUGAGGGUGAUCUGGCUGUGACAGCUGUCACCCCUUGAUCACCAGGGUUGAUUUGGCAGAUCUGGCUGGCUAGAUGGAUGUCCACUUUCUCCCUCACCACUCCAUAUACAUCCCUCCUGAAGCUGCAUGCUUGGUCAGAGGAUGACCUUCCCUACUAGAAGAGGACUAUUCUUCAGUCCAGGGUAUAUGAGUAGCUGUACUCCUUUGCUAGAACCUCUAAACAAGCUCUCAAAACAAGACAUUGGAAAAUGACAUAGACCAUUGAAAGAACAAUGAACAGUGAAAGAACAUUGCAAAUCGGAAUAGAAAAAUU
rnacentral:snRNA from 1 species